UACGUAGGGGGCUAGCGUUGUCCGGAAUCAUUGGGCGUAAAGGGCGCGUAGGCGGCCACGCACGUCCGUUGUGAAAUCGCCCGGCUCAACUGGGCGGGGUCAGCGGAUACGGCGCGGCUGGAGCAAGCUAGGGGGCAAUGGAAUUCCCGGUGUAGUGGUGGAAUGCGUAGAUAUCGGGAGGAACACCAGUGGCGAAGGCGGUUGCCUGGAGCUUUGCUGACGCUGAUGCGCGAAAGCGUGGGGAGCGAUCCGG
rnacentral:rRNA from 1 species